UGGUUUAUAUUUUACUCAUUUAAGCUGAGCCUGGAACAGAGGGGCAGGAUAUCCCAAUGUGGGAGAGGCAUUUAAGUAAAGAACCUUCCUGGGCUGUCCUAGCCUUACUUUU
rnacentral:snoRNA from 1 species